UACGAAGGGGGCUAGCGUUGUUCGGAAUUACUGGGCGUAAAGCGUAUGCAGGCGGAUCGUUAAGUCGGGGGUGAAAUCCCGAGGCUCAACCUCGGAACUGCCUUCGAUACUGGCGAUCUUGAGUCCGGGAGAGGUGAGUGGAACUCCGAGUGUAGAGGUGAAAUGCGCAGAUAUCGGGAGGAACACCAGUAGCGAAGGCGGCACUCUGGGCCGGUACUGACGCUGAGGAGCGAAAGCGUGGGGAGCAAACAGG
rnacentral:rRNA from 1 species